AGAGUUUGAUCCUGGCUCAGAAUCAAACGCUGGCGGCGAGAAGAACACAGGCAAGUCGCGCGCGAAAGGGGGGCAACCCCCGAGUAGAGCGGCGAACGGGUGAGUAACGCGUGGGUGAUCUGCCUCCGAGUGGGGAAUAACCCCGGGAAACUGGGGCUAAUACCGCAUGACAUCCUCGAGUCGAAUUGGGGAUCAAAGCCGGGGACCGCAAGGCCUGGCGCUUGGAGAUGAGCCCGCGUCCUAUUAGCUAGUUGGUAGGGUAAUGGCCUACCAAGGCAAUGAUGGGUACUGGGUGUGAGAGCACGACCCAGCUCACUGGGACUGAGACACUGCCCAGACACCUACGGGUGGCUGCAGUCGAGAAUCUUCGGCAAUGGGCGAAAGCCUGACCGAGCGACGCCGCGUGUGGGAUGAAGGCCUUCGGGUUGUAAACCGCUGUCAGAGGGGAGGAAUGGGCGGAGGGUAAUCUCUUCGUUUUGACCUAUCCUCAGAGGAAGUACGGGCUAAGUUCGUGCCAGCAGCCGCGGUAAGACGAACCGUACAAACGUUAUUCGGAAUCACUGGGCUUAAAAGGGUGCGUAGGCGGCGCUGAAAGUUGGGUGUGAAAUCCCCUCGGCUCAACCGAGGAACUGCGCCCAAAACUACAGUGCUUGAGGGAGAUAGAGGUGAGCGGAACUUAGGGUGGAGCGGUGAAAUG
rnacentral:rRNA from 1 species